ACGAACGCUGGCGGCGUGCCUCAUACAUGCAAGUAGCACGCUGAAGGAGGAGCUUGCUUCUCUGGAUGAGUUGCGAACGGGUGAGUAACGCGUAGGUAACCUGCCUGGUAGCGGGGGAUAACUAUUGGAAACGAUAGCUAAUACCGCAUAACAGUAGAUAUCGCAUGAUAUCUACUUGAAAGGUGCAAUUGCAUCACUACCAGAUGGACCUGCGUUGUAUUAGCUAGUUGGUGAGGUAACGGCUCACCAAGGCGACGAUACAUAGCCGACCUGAGAGGGUGAUCGGCCACACUGGGACUGAGACACGGCCCAGACUCCUACGGGAGGCAGCAGUAGGGAAUCUUCGGCAAUGGACGGAAGUCUGACCGAGCAACGCCGCGUGAGUGAAGAAGGUUGUCGGAUCGUAAAGCUCUGUUGUAAGAGGAGAACGAGUGUGAGAGUGGAAAGUUCACACUGUGACGGUAUCUUACCAGAAAGGGACGGCUAACUACGUG
rnacentral:rRNA from 1 species